rnacentral:snRNA from 1 species
GUGCUCACUUGGGCAGCACAUAUAUUAAAAUUGGAAUGAUUAGCAUGGCCCCUGCACAAGGAUGACAUAGUGAAAAUGGGCCACAAUGAGCUCAAUUUA